CACUUCAGGAAGAGAAACUAUCACCAUCAAAACCACAAAGACAAACCCAAUGAAAGAUGUUCGACACGGUGACGUGCCUGCUCCCACUUCGCCUUCAACUAUGAUUGCAAGUUUCCUGAGGCCUCCCCAGAAGCUGGGCAGAUGCUAGCAUUAUGCUUCCUGUACAGCCUGCAGAACUGGACAUGGAUAAAUCUGGAAACCAUCAUACUCAGCAAACUGACACAAGAACAGAAAAUCAAGCACCACAUGUUCUCACUCAUAGGCAGGUGUUGAACAAUGAGAACACAUGGACAGAGGGAGGGGAGCAUCACACACUGGGGUCUGUUGGGGGGCGGCCAAGGGAGGGACAGCAGGGGGAUGGGGAGGCCAGGGAGGAAUAA
rnacentral:lncRNA from 1 species